rnacentral:lncRNA from 1 species
CUCAGUAGUAGGAUGGUUUGGUAAUACAGGGGGAUCCUGAUCGAGAACAUGCCUUAAUUUUUCUGAGGUCAGAAUAAUCUUGAGAUUUUUAAGCCAGUCUUUGUAAUUAUUAUCGAUCAAAUGAUUGGAUUCAAGGAUGCUGCUAGAGGGUUUGAGGCUGACAUGAUGGUUUAACUGUGAGAGUAGAGAUUCAAGUUAGACUUUUAUACU